CCUACGGGAGGCAGCAGUGAGGAAUAUUGGUCAAUGGACGAGAGUCUGAACCAGCCAAGUCGCGUGAAGGAUGACUGCCCUAUGGGUUGUAAACUUCUUUUAUAUGGGAGUAAACAGUUCCACGUGUGGGAUUUUGUAUGUACCAUAUGAAUAAGGAUCGGCUAACUCCGUGCCAGCAGCCGCGGUAAUACGGAGGAUCCGAGCGUUAUCCGGAUUUAUUGGGUUUAAAGGGAGCGUAGGUGGCUUGUUAAGUUAGUUGUGGAAGUUUGCGGCUUAACCGUAAAAUUGCAGUUGAAACUGGCGGUCUAGAGUACAGAAGAGGUGGGCGGAAUGCGUGGUGUAGCGGUGAAAUGCUUAGAUAUCACGAAGAACACCGAUUGCGAAGGCAGCUCACUGGACUGCAACUGACACUGAGGCUCGAAAGCGUGGGUAGCAAACAGGAUUAGAUACCCCAGUAGUC
rnacentral:rRNA from 1 species